rnacentral:rRNA from 1 species
CACGUAGGCACCAAGCGUUGUCCGGAAUUAUUGGGCGUAAAGAGCUCGUAGGCGGUUUGUCGCGUCGGGAGUGAAAACACGGGGCUUAACCCCGUGCCUGCUUCCGAUACGGGCAGACUAGAGGUAUGCAGGGGAGAACGGAAUUCCUGGUGUAGCGGUGAAAUGCGCAGAUAUCAGGAGGAACACCGGUGGCGAAGGCGGUUCUCUGGGCAUUACCUGACGCUGAGGAGCGAAAGUGUGGGGAGCGAACAGG